rnacentral:rRNA from 1 species
GUAGGUGGCAAGCGUUGUCCGGAAUUAUUGGGCGUAAAGCGCGCGCAGGCGGUUCGUUUAAGUCUGAUGUGAAAGCCCACGGGCUCAACCGUGGAGGGUCAUUGGAAACUGGGGAACUUGAGUACAGAAGAGGAAAGCGGAAUUCCACGUGUAGCGGUGAAAUGCGUAGAGAUGUGGAGGAACACCAGUGGCGAAGGCGGCUUUCUGGUCUGUAACUGACGCUGAGGCGCAAAAGCGUGGGGAGCAAACAGGAUUAGAUACCCUGGUAGUCCACGCCGUAAACGAUGAGUGCUAAGUGUUACGGGGGGUUUCCGCCCCUUAGUGCUGCAGCUAACGCAUUAAGCACUCCGCCUGGGGAGUACGGCCGCAAAGGCUG